UAACUAAAUAAGCAAACCUAAAGAAAUUUAGUGACGCAAAACUAAAGGGGCUAAAGUUAUAGACCAAGCCAGCCAGUUGCCAAG
rnacentral:ncRNA from 1 species